UACAGGGGGUGCAAACGUUGCUCGGAAUUAUUGGGCGUAAAGCGCGCGUAGGCGGCUACUUAAGUCGGAUGUGAAAGCCCUUGGCUCAACUGAGGAAGUGCACCCGAAACUGAGUGGCUUGAGUACUAAAGAGGGUCGCGGAAUUCCCGGUGUAGAGGUGAAAUUCGUAGAUAUCGGGAGGAACACCGGUGGCGAAGGCGGCUCACUGGACUGGUAUUGACGCUGAGGUGCGAAAGCGUGGGGAGCGAACAGG
rnacentral:rRNA from 1 species